rnacentral:sRNA from 1 species
GCCAAGUGUGGGGGCCCACACCUGUAAUCCCUGUGGCUUGGGAGGCCGAGGCAGGAGGAUCGCGAGUUCAAAGCCAGCCUCAGCAAUUUAGUGAGGCCCUAGGCGACUUAGCAAGACCCUGUCUCGA